AUCUGGGCGGCGGAAUUCAGGAUGGCGGGCGCGUCUUCGCGGGCGCGUUCGUCGUUUGAUAUUUCCGUCGCCGACUCAACCCGCAGACGUCGCGACCUGUUCGCGGUCGGUCCUUGCUCGGAGGAGUCACGUUCGAGUUUGUUGCGUGCGCGUUUCUGCGCGUUACGCGGCAAAGGCGUGAAUCUCUGGCUGGCCGUCGGACAGUACGCUCAACGGUGUCCGAUGUCGUCGUCUCGUACGCGCGCGCAUCGGUACCGGUCGGCGACGAAUUCUUCGGGCCUCUUUCCGACCCGUCUUGAAACACGGACCAAGGAGUCUAACAUGCGCGCGAGUCGCGGGGUGUCGAGCGUACUACGGUGCGUUCGUUACGUUGCGAAACCCGUACAUGUCGAAGGCGUAAUGAAAGUAAAUGGGGAAGAUGGUGUUCCGAGUACACGUUCCGCGGUCAUUGGUACCGCGGCCGGACACCCGCAUUCCCGGGGCGUCUCAACGGCCCGUCGCGGAUGCGGGCAGUCGUCUCUCGGGGCGGCUGUCGGUCUGCGACGAACCGA
rnacentral:rRNA from 1 species